UGGAACUCUUCCUAACCGAACCGCUGCAUUUACUACUCCGAAUUUACUACUCAGCACGCAAAUCUUCAAAAGAAGAAACGGAUGUUACCAAAGCCAAAAGGAGCCCCCACGUCUGGACCUCCGUGGCUUUGUGCAACUGUUCCCUCCGGCCACCACCAGGGACAAGGGCUGCCCCGGCCCUCAGCCGCGAGCCUGUCGGCCUCCUCGCCUUUGCGGGGGCAUCAAGUCCCCGGGACUGAGGCUGGACCACCAUCGCGCGCCGCGGGGACAGGGGCUGGCGGCCACCGCGAUGCAGAGGCAGGCGAGCUCCGAGCCGGUCCAGCCGAGCUCCACACCUGCCAGUUGCGGUCGCCCGGCCUCCCUUCUCCUAGGGGCACUUCCGCGGGGUUCUGGCCAGGGCGCGUCUGGGCCGGACUGGUGGCCAGGCGGGGACAGAGAGGUCCGCCCCAGGAGACCCCAGAGGGGGGCGCUCGCUGCGCAGACCCGAGGGGCAACAGGUGGCCCCCAGCCCUGGUCUCUCUCCCCCCACCCCCAAAGGUCCUCAAAGGCCCUUCCGAGGGGCCCCGCCCCAUCCCCACUCCACCCCGCUCCGCCCCCGCGAGGAGAGGGCGCAGAGACCUAACCCCGCUGGUUGGCGCGGGCAGGUCCCCCGUGGGGCCGCACGGAUUCCGCCGGCCCUGCUCCCGCCCUUAGACGGCGGCUCCGGCUCCCCGAGGGCGCACGAGGUCCGGCCCGCUGCCAGGGUGCGGCGGAUGGGCUUCGGGGCUCCGUGCGGGGUGGCGCGGGAGGGUCGGGAGGCGGCGCGCCGGCCGCUCUGGCCGUGGGUCGGCCCGGAUCUAGCCGGGGCGGAGCCGGGAGCCGCAGCGUGGACACCGAGGCACUCACAGCUAUGGGCCGGGGGUCUCUGAGAGCUCGAGGGUCGCAGGCGUCGCUGCUGCUGCUGCUGCUGCUACUGUGGCUACCUUUGCAGGUGUCGGGGACCGAGGCAUUUCAAGGAGGCAACCCUGGAGAGCCAGUCACCCUGCACUGGGUCCUGGAUGGACGACCCCAGCGCACGGUCACCCUGGACGAGCCGGUCUCGAAGCUAGACAUGGGGCUGGUGGCCUUGGAGGCUGAAGGGCAGCAGCUCCUGCUCGAGCUGGAGAAGAACCACAGGCUGCUGGCCCCGGGAUACACAGAAACCCACUAUACCCCAGAUGGGCAGCCAGUGGUGCUGGUCCCCGACCACACGGACCACUGCCAUUACCAUGGACGUGUGAGGGGCUUCCCUGACUCCUGGGUAGUCUUCAGCACCUGCUCUGGGAUGAGGGGCCUGAUCACACUGGGCAGCAAUGCCAGUUAUUAUGUGCAUCCACAGUCAGCUGGAGACUCCGAGGACUUCAUCACUUACAAGAUGUUCCCAACCAGGCAGCUGCUCAGCUGGAAAGGGGCCUGCGGCCACAGGGAUGCCGGGAGCAAAGGGGACAUGGCCAGCCUUUCUCGUGCCACUCAGAUCAAGGAGAGGAGGGAGGUCCGCAGGAGCCCGAGGUUCUUGGAGCUGUACAUAGUGGCUGACCACACACUGUUCUUGACCCAGCACAGGAACUUGAACCACACCAAACAGCGACUCCUGGAGGUGGCCAACUACGUAGACCAGAUUCUCAGGACUCUGGAUAUUCAGGUGGCACUGACUGGCCUGGAAGUGUGGACAGAGCAAGACCGGAGCCAUAUCACGUCAGACGCCAAUGCGACGCUCUGGGCCUUCCUGCAGUGGCGCCGAGGGCUGUGGGCACGGUGGCCACACGACUCCACGCAGCUGCUCACGGGCCGCGCCUUCCAGGGCGCCACUGUGGGCCUGGCGCCCAUCGAGGGCAUGUGUCGCGCUGAGAGUUCAGGAGGCGUGAGCACGGAUCACUCAGAGCUUCCCAUUGGCGCAGCAGCCACCAUGGCCCACGAGAUAGGUCACAGCCUUGGCCUCAGCCACGACCCUGACGGCUGCUGCGUGGAGGCGGCGGCUGAGCAAGGCGGCUGCGUCAUGGCCGCGGCCACCGGGCACCCGUUCCCACGCGUAUUCAGCCCCUGCAGCCGGCGCCAGCUGCGCGCCUUCUUCCGCAAGGGGGGCGGUGCGUGUCUUUCCAACGCGCCGGACUCCAGGGUCCUCGUGCCUCGGGCGCGCUGCGGGAACGGCCUCGUGGAGGACGGCGAGGAGUGUGACUGCGGCCCCAGCCAGGAGUGCCCGGACGCCUGCUGCCUCGCCCACAACUGCUCGCUGCGUGCAGGAGCCCAGUGCACACGCGGGGACUGCUGCGCGCGCUGCCUGCUGAAGCCGGCUGGCGUGCUGUGCCGCCGAGCUGCUAGCGACUGUGACCUCCCAGAGUUCUGCACGGGCACCUCCCCCUACUGCCCCCCGGACACUUUCCUACUAGACGGCUCUUCCUGCGCCAGCGGCCGGGGCUACUGCCGGGAUGGCGCGUGUCCUACACUGGAGCAGCAGUGCCAGCAGCUCUGGGGGCCUGGCUCCAGCCCAGCCCCGGAGGCCUGUUUCCAGACUGUGAACUCAGCAGGAGACGCCCAUGGAAACUGUGGCCAGGACCGCAAGGGUGGCUUCGUGCCUUGUGCGCAGAGGGAUGCACAGUGUGGGAAGCUGCAGUGCCUGGGUGGGGAGCAGCGCCCACUGGCACCACACACGGUACCGGUGGACUCCACGGUUGGACUAGGCAGCAGCGAGGUGACCUGCAGGGGAGUCUUCCUGCUGCCUGGUGUCCAGCUAGACCUGCAUGACGUGGGCCUGGUAGAGCCAGGCACCCAGUGUGGCCCUAGAAUGGUGUGCCAGGACGGGAGCUGCCAAAACACUACCUUCUGGGAGCUGGAGCGAUGCCUGACAGCCUGCCAUGGCCAUGGAGUUUGCAACAGUAACCAUAACUGCCACUGUGCUCCGGGCUGGGCUCCGCCGUCCUGCAACAAGCCAGGGUUUGGUGGCAGUGUGGACAGCGGUCCUAUACGGCCUGAAAACCACAAGGCAUUCCUGCUGGUGGUGAUCCUUAGCUUUCUGCUGCCUCUGCUCCCCGGGGCCAGUCUGGCCUGGUGCUGCUACCGACAGCCGGGAUCCCGUCUCCAGCAAUGCCUCUGCGGCUCGAGGAGGGGUCCUGCAUGCACUGGGCCCAAAGAUGGCCCACACCAGGACCCUCCCCCUAGGAGCGUUCACAGCAUGGAGUCAAGCCCAGCAGCCACUGAAGAGCCCGGACUCUGGGUUACCUUGAGGCCCCUGUCCCCACCCUGCUCCAGAGACUUCUGCCUGUGGUCACAACAUUUGUCCUCCACCCAUUGCUCCAGACCUUAAGAACUCUGCCAGAGCCCAAGAGCCACCUUGAGAAGCCUCUGUCCUGUUGCCUUGCCUGCAACCCCAAGCAGGUCAAGUCUAGAAGCCAAGAUCCUGUCUCUGGUGAGAGGGGCUCCUGAGAUGAGGAUACUUACAGACAGGCGACUGCUGACAGCCACCACAAGAACUUGGUCUCCCAGGGGCAGAGCCAGUGAAUCACACUUCCUGCACUUUUGCAGCCUGCAAGUUUCUUCCCUGAGUCGAGCUCUGCCCCCACCCACUUCAGGACCCCGGAGCCUUAUCAGAAGAUGCCCAAUGCUGCCCCAUUCCCUAUGGCUGGGGGGAUCCUGGUAGGGUAUAUAUUCCAGCCCAAGAAUCUAUCAGUCCAAGGAGCAAAGGUCAUGUAGUCACUGACGUCCUGUCACCAGGGGAGGCUGGGUCAUUCUGGGCAUUGGGAGAGGUCUCUAUCCAGGGAACUUGGGUGUCUCUGCAUAUGUAUUUUACCUAGACCCAGCUCUGCAGAAUCCAGUGACUGCUGGGCCAGAAGCCUGGGCUCCAGGGGCCCUACAUUUCAGAUUGAGUCUACUUCCCUGGAGCCUGGCCCUUGCAAAAACAAAACAAAACAAAACAAAACAAUCCACAAAAUCCUUGGGAUCCUCCUCCCUCCCUUUUCCUGCCGUGUCCUCCAGAUGCUUCCUCAACCUCACCUCUGUUAUCGGUCCUCUACCUGAGGUUUUGGAGGAGUGUGGUUCUGCUGUAGCCCUCUCACUUUGGACAUUACUCAGCCUUCCCUCCAUUCCAUGGGAGGGGACAGUGGGAGCUGUUUUAAAAAGGAUACCAAAGUAGAAGUCAGAAGAAAGAUAUGCUGACCUCAA